rnacentral:tRNA from 1 species
GGAGUGGCUCAGUUGGUAGAGCAGCUGAUUCGUAAUCAGCAGGUCGUGGGUUCAAGUCCCAUCUUCA